AUGAGUAGCGAAAGACGGGUGAGAAUCCCGUCCACCGAAUGCCUAAGGUUUCCUGAGGAAGGCUCGUCCGCUCAGGGUUAGUCGGGACCUAAGCCGAGGCCGAAAGGCGUAGGCGAUGGACAACAGGUUGAUAUUCCUGUACCACCUCCUCACCAUUUGAGCAAUGGGGGGACGCAGGAGGAUAGGGUAAGCGCGGUAUUGGAUAUCCGCGUCCAAGCAGUUAGGCUGGGAAAUAGGCAAAUCCGUUUCCCAUAAAGGCUGAGCUGUGAUGGCGAGCGAAAUUUAGUAGCGAAGUUCCUGAUUCCACACUGCCAAGAAAAGCCUCUAGCGAGGUGAGAGGUGCCCGUACCGCAAACCGACACAGGUAGGCGAGGAGAGAAUCCUAAGGUGAUCGAGAGAACUCUCGUUAAGGAACUCGGCAAAAUGACCCCGUAACUUCGGGAGAAGGGGUGCUUCUUAGGGUGUUAAAGCCCCGAGAAGCCGCAGUGAAUAGGCCCAGGCGACUGUUUAGCAAAAACACAGGUCUCUGCGAAGCCGUAAGGCGAAGUAUAGGGGCUGACGCCUGCCCGGUGCUGGAAGGUUAAGAGGAGCGCUUAGCGUAAGCGAAGGUGCGAAUUGAAGCCCCAGUAAACGGCGGCCGUAACUAUAACGGUCCUAAGGUAGCGAAAUUCCUUGUCGGGUAAGUUCCGACCCGCACGAAAGGCGCAACGAUCUGGGCACUGUCUCAACGAGAGACUCGGUGAAAUUAUAGUACCUGUGAAGAUGCAGGUUACCCGCGACAGGACGGAAAGACCCCGUGGAGCUUUACUGCAGCCUGAUAUUGAAUGUUGGUACAGCUUGUACAGGAUAGGUAGGAGCCUUGGAAACCGGAGCGCUAGCUUCGGUGGAGGCAUCGGUGGGAUACUACCCUGGCUGUAUUGACCUUCUAACCCGCUGCCCUUAUCGGGCAGGGAGACAGUGUCAGGUGGGCAGUUUGACUGGGGCGGUCGCCUCCUAAAAUGUAACGGAGGCGCCCAAAGGUUCCCUCAGAAUGGUUGGAAAUCAUUCGCAGAGUGUAAAGGCACAAGGGAGCUUGACUGCGAGACCUACAAGUCGAGCAGGGACGAAAGUCGGGCUUAGUGAUCCGGUGGUUCCGCAUGGAAGGGCCAUCGCUCAACGGAUAAAAGCUACCCCGGGGAUAACAGGCUUAUCUCCCCCAAGAGUCCACAUCGACGGGGAGGUUUGGCACCUCGAUGUCGGCUCAUCGCAUCCUGGGGCUGUAGUCGGUCCCAAGGGUUGGGCUGUUCGCCCAUUAAAGCGGUACGCGAGCUGGGUUCAGAACGUCGUGAGACAGUUCGGUCCCUAUCCGUCGCGGGCGCAGGAAAUUUGAGAGGAGCUGUCCUUAGUACGAGAGGACCGGGAUGGACGCACCGCUGGUGUACCAGUUGUUCUGCCAAGGGCAUCGCUGGGUAGCUAUGUGCGGACGGGAUAAGUGCUGAAAGCAUCUAAGCAUGAAGCCCCCCUCAAGAUGAGAUUUCCCAUUCCGCAAGGAAGUAAGAUCCCUGAAAGAUGAUCAGGUUGAUAGGUCUGAGGUGGAAGCGUGGUGACACGUGGAGCUGACAGAUACUAAUAGAUCGAGGACUUAACCUAUA
rnacentral:rRNA from 1 species